rnacentral:rRNA from 1 species
UACGGGGGGGGCAAGCGUUGUUCGGAUUUACUGGGCGUAAAGGGCGCGUAGGCGGCCACCGCAAGUCGACUGUGAAAUCUCCGGGCUUAACCCGGAAAGGUCAGCCGAUACUGCGGGGCUAGAGUGCAGAAGGGGCAACUGGAAUUCUCGGUGUAGCGGUGAAAUGCGUAGAGAUCGGGAGGAACACCUGUGGCGAAGGCGGCCCCCUGGGCCGGCCCUGACACUGAGACGCGAAGGCGUGGGGAGCGAACGGG